CAGGGAAUCAGUUCGCUAGAUACGCCGGUCACCCUUGUUUCCGGUCACUGUAAACGUCUCGAUCCACCGUCAAAUGUGCUUACGACUUUAGGAUUUCUUUCUGGUCGUCCGGAUUAGCGUGAAGGAAAGUCGGCGAGGAGCAAUAGGACCCGAGUCGGUGUGCACCGUUACUCUCUGCAUUUUGAGGUCUUCGCCUGCACCUAAGGCCCUCCCUGCCAGGCGCAUCAUGGCCCUUGAGAUUGCACAGUGCGGCGAGCAGGCG